rnacentral:rRNA from 1 species
AAUGGCCGCAGUAAUUUGACUGUGCAAAGGUAGCAUAAUCAAUAGUUUUUUAAUUGAAAGCUUGUAUGAAAGGUUGGACGAAAUAAAAACUGUCUUUAUUUAAUUAUAGAAGAAUUUAAUUUUUAAGUUAAAAAGCUUAAAUUUUAAUAAAAGACGAGAAGACCCUAUAGAGCUUUAUAUUUUUAUAUAAAUAAUUAAUAUGGAUUUAUUUAUUUUAUUUUUUGUAUGAUAUUUUAUUGGGGUAAUAUAAAGAUUAGUAUAAUUCUUUUUAUUUUUAUUUAUUUAUUUAUAUUUUUUUGAUCCAUUAUUAAUGAUUAUAAGAUUAAGUUACCUUAGGGAUAACAGCGUAAUUUUUUUUGAGAGUUCAUAUUGAUAAAAAAGUUUGCGACCUCGAUGUUGGAUUAAAGAUUAGUUUAGGUGCAAAAGUUUAAAUUUUUGGUCUGUUCGACCAUUAAAUCUUUACAUGAUCUGAGUUCAGACCGGUUUAAGCCAGGUCGGUUUCUAUCUUUAUUAAGUUAAAAUAUUUUAGUACGAAAGGACCAGAUAUUAAUUAUAAUAAUUUAUUUUUGAAUAAUAUU